GAUCCGCAAGGUGUUGCACUGGGGAAUUCAGCCCGCCUAUCGCGGCGUGGGUGCACUUUCUCAGGGACAAGAGCCACGACCGGGUCCGCGGCUGCUCGAGGUGGUGCGAAGGUUUCCAGGCACCUCACGGCGCAGGGAGCUUACAGCGCGCCGUCCUCCGAGUCUGUACGUCGCGGGCCCGAGGACGCUCGACGCGUGCCCACGGCACCUGGUCGUCAUCGUGCGUCCAACUGUGGCGCCACUGCUAGUCUUGGCAGUGCGCCGCGACUGCGCAUGUCAACCGUGAUCCGGCCGCCCGGGUGCGCUGAGGGUCGGUGACGAAUCAGUCGGCACUCCACCCGACCCGUCUUGAAACACGGACCAAGGAGUCUAACAUGUGCGCGAGUCUUGGGGACCGUCGAAUCCCGAAGGUGCAAUGAAAGUGAAUUCUGGCCCUCAGGCCGGCGGAGGCAGGAUCCCAUCCCCACGGCCGGGCGCACUGCCGGCCCGUCUCGACAGUGGCGCGGUCGUUUGCGGCCGGCGUUCGUCUGCGAGGCGGAGCAAGAGCGUACAUGUUGGUACCCGAAAGAUGGUGAACUAUGCCUGAGCAGGACGAAGUCAGAGGAAACUCUGAUGGAGGUCCGCAGCGAUUCUGACGUGAAAAUCGAUCGUCAAACUUGGGUAUAGGGGCGAAAGACUA
rnacentral:rRNA from 1 species